rnacentral:rRNA from 1 species
UGAGGAAUAUUGGACAAUGGGUGAGAGCCUGAUCCAGCCAUCCCGCGUGAAGGAUGACGGUCCUAUGGAUUGUAAACUUCUUUUGUACAGGGAUAAACCUACUCUCGUGAGGGUAGCUGAAGGUACUGUACGAAUAAGCACCGGCUAACUCCGUGCCAGCAGCCGCGGUAAUACGGAGGGUGCAAGCGUUAUCCGGAUUUAUUGGGUUUAAAGGGUCCGUAGGCGGACGUGUAAGUCAGUGGUGAAAUCUCAUAGCUUAACUAUGAAACUGCCAUUGAUACUGCAGGUCUUGAGUAAAUUUGAAGUGGCUGGAAUAAGUAGUGUAGCGGUGAAAUGCAUAGAUAUUACUUAGAACACCAAUUGCGAAGGCAGGUCACUAAGAUUUAACUGACGCUGAUGGACGAAAGCGUGGGGAGCGAACA